AACGAACGCUGGCGGCGCGCCUAAUACAUGCAAGUCGAACGAGAAGGUGUAGCAAUACACUUGUACAGUGGCGAACGGGUGAGGAAUGCAUGGGCAACCUACCCUCGAGUGGGGAACAACCAGCCGAAAGGUUGGCUAAUACCGCGUACGCUUCCGGGUCUCCGGAUCCGGAAGGAAAGUCACACCGUGGGUGUGACGCUCAAGGAUGGGCUCAUGUCCUAUCAGCUUGNGGUGAGGUAACGGCUCACCAAGGCAACGACGGGUAGCUGGUCUGAGAGGACGAUCAGCCACACUGGCACUGCGACACGGGCCAGACUCCUACGGGAGCAGCAGUAAGGAAUAUUGCGCAAUGGGCGAAAGCCUGACGCAGCGACGCCGCGUGGGGGAUGAAGGUCUUCGGAUUGUAAACCCC
rnacentral:rRNA from 1 species